AUGGCGUCGACCUCGAGCUUGGAUUUGGGAAAGAUCGUGCCGACGGCCGGCUACCUCCUCCACCGCUGCGCCGCCGUCCCCAGCGCCCCUGUUCUCCGGGGAGGAGCGCGAGCGGGCGGUGCGGCCUCGCCGUCUCGGUCUCGUCCUCCAAUGGUAGGUGCAGCUGGGCUCUCCGCAUUGAGUGACUCGGAGAAGAAAGGCCCUGUGGUGAUGGAGAUCCCGCUGGAAGAUAUCCGGGGGCCGCUAAUGCGAACGCGUGCUAAUGAUCCUGACAAGGUGCAGGAGCUCAUGGACAGCAUCCGUGUCAUCGGCCUCCAAGUACCUGUGGGCAUCCUUUCCUUUUAA
rnacentral:rRNA from 1 species